GACGAACGCUGGCGGCGUGCUUAACACAUGCAAGUCGAACGGAAAGGCCCUGCUUUUGUGGGGUGCUCGAGUGGCGAACGGGUGAGUAACACGUGAGUAACCUGCCCUUGACUUUGGGAUAACUUCAGGAAACUGGGGCUAAUACCGGAUAGGAGCUCCUGCUGCAUGGUGGGGGUUGGAAAGUUUCGGCGGUUGGGGAGGGACUCGCGGCUUAUCAGCUUGUUGGUGGGGUAGUGGCUUACCAAGGCUUUGACGGGUAGCCGGCCUGAGAGGGUGCCCGGCCACAUCGGGUCUGAGAGGCGGCAGAGACGCAUCCGGGGGGAAGGAGUGGAGAAUAUCGCAGAAUGGGCGGAAGAGUGAUGCAGCAACGCCGAGCGUGAGACGAUGUUAUGCGGGUUGUAAACCGCUUUCGCUUGCGGCGAAGAGCGUGAGAGUAUAAGGUGAAAAGGAGCCGGCUAACUACGUG
rnacentral:rRNA from 1 species